UACAGAGGUCCCAAGCGUUGUUCGGAUUCACUGGGCGUAAAGGGUGCGUAGGUGGCUGUGGAAGUCUGAUGUGAAAGCUCAGGGCUCAACCCUGAAAUGGCAUUGGAUACUCCAUGGCUUGAGGUUCGGAGGGGAGACUGGAAUUCUUGGUGUAGCAGUGAAAUGCGUAGAUAUCAAGAGGAACACCGGUGGCGAAGGCGAGUCUCUGGACGGAUCCUGACACUGAGGCACGAAAGCUAGGGGAGCAAACAGGAUUAGAAACCCUCGUAGUCC
rnacentral:rRNA from 1 species